rnacentral:rRNA from 1 species
AACGAACGCUGGCGGCAUGCCUAACACAUGCAAGUCGAACGAGACCUUCGGGUCUAGUGGCGCACGGGUGCGUAACGCGUGGGAACCUGCCCUUAGGUUCGGAAUAACUCCCCGAAAGGGGUGCUAAUACCGGAUAAUGUCUUCGGACCAAAGAUUUAUCGCCUUUGGAUGGGCCCGCGUUGGAUUAGCUAGUUGGUAGGGUAAAAGCCUACCAAGGCGACGAUCCAUAGCUGGUCUGAGAGGAUGAUCAGCCACACUGGGACUGAGACACGGCCCAGACUCCUACGGGAGGCAGCAGUGGGGAAUAUUGGACAAUGCGCGAAAGCCUGAUCCAUCUAUGCCGCGUGAGUGAUGAAGGCCUUAGGGUUGUAAAGCUCUUUUACCCGGGAUGAUAAUGACAGUACCGGGAAAAUAAGCUCCGGCUAACUCCGUG